rfam:Parcubacteria bacterium GW2011_GWB1_48_6 TY30_C0005, whole genome shotgun sequence.
AAAAAUCAGAGUUUGAUCCUAGCUCAGGAUGAACGCUGGCGGCGUGGAUGAGUCAUGCAAGUCAAACGGUCCCUCACUUGAGCAAUCAAGUGAGGGAUAGUGGCAGACGAGGUAGUAACACGUAGGAACCUACUCCCGAGUCAGGAAUAAUUCACCGAAAGGUGGACUAAUACCUGAUAGUAUCUUCGGAUUAAAGAAGCAAUUCGCUUGGGAAAGGGCCUGCGUCGUAUCAGCUAGUUGGUAGGGUAAUGGCCUACCAAGGCUUAGACGCGUAGGGGACCUGAGAGGGUGACCCCCACCGAUGGGACUGAGACACGGCCCAUACACCUACGGGUGGCUGCAGACGAGAAUAUUCGACAAUGGGCGAAAGC